GAGUGAAAAAGAACCUGAAACCGUGUACGUACAAGCAGUGGGAGCACGCUUAGGCGUGUGACUGCGUACCUUUUGUAUAAUGGGUCAGCGACUUAUAUUCUGUAGCAAGGUUAACCGAAUAGGGGAGCCGAAGGGAAACCGAGUCUUAACUGGGCGUUAAGUUGCAGGGUAUAGACCCGAAACCCGGUGAUCUAGCCAUGGGCAGGUUGAAGGUUGGGUAACACUAACUGGAGGACCGAACCGACUAAUGUUGAAAAAUUAGCGGAUGACUUGUGGCUGGGGGUGAAAGGCCAAUCAAACCGGGAGAUAGCUGGUUCUCCCCGAAAGCUAUUUAGGUAGCGCCUCGUGAAUUCAUCUCCGGGGGUAGAGCACUGUUUCGGCAAGGGGGUCAUCCCGACUUACCAACCCGAUGCAAACUGCGAAUACCGGAGAAUGUUAUCACGGGAGACACACGGCGGGUGCUAACGUCCGUCGUGAAGAGGGAAACAACCCAGACCGCCAGCUAAGGUCCCAAAGUCAUGGUUAAGUGGGAAACGAUGUGGGAAGGCCCAGACAGCCAGGAUGUUGGCUUAGAAGCAGCCAUCAUUUAAAGAAAGCGUAAUAGCUCACUGGUCGAGUCGGCCUGCGCGGAAGAUGUAACGGGGCUAAACCAUGCACCGAAGCUGCGGCAGCGACGCUGAU
rnacentral:rRNA from 1 species